rnacentral:rRNA from 1 species
AGCGAACGCUGGCGGCAGGCCUAACACAUGCAAGUCGAACGAAGUCUUCGGACUUAGUGGCGGACGGGUGAGUAACACGUGGGAACGUACCUUUUGGUUCGGUACAACUCAGGGAAACUUGAGCUAAUACCGGAUGAGCCCUUAGGGGGAAAGAUUUAUCGCCGAAAGAGCGGCCCGCGUUAGAUUAGCUAGUUGGUGAGGUAAAGGCUCACCAAGGCUACGAUCUAUAGCUGGUCUGAGAGGAUGAUCAGCCACACUGGGACUGAGACACGGCCCAGACUCCUACGGGAGGCAGCAGCGGGGAAUCUUGCGCAAUGGGCGAAAGCCUGACGCAGCCAUGCCGCGUGAAUGAUGAAGGUCUUAGGAUUGUAAAAUUCUUUUACCAGGGACGAUAAUGACGGUACCUGGAGAAAAAGCCCCGGCUAACUUCGUGCCAGCCGCCGCCGUAAGAC